rnacentral:snRNA from 1 species
AGCUUUGCAUAGUGGCAGUAUUGUAGCCAAAGAGGUUUAUCCAAGGCACAAUUAUUGUUAAUUAAAAACUUUUCCCAAUACCCUGCC